AUUGAACGCUGGCGGCAGGCCUAACACAUGCAAGUCGAACGUGUGGCGGACGGUUGCGUAAUGUCUGGUAAACUGUCCGUUGGAGGGGGAUAACUACUGGAUACGGUAUCUAAUACCGCAUUCCAUCGGCUUUGGCCAGUUGGGGUUAGCUUGUAGGUGAGGUAACGGCCCACCUAGGCGACGAGCCCUAGCUGGUCUGAGAGGUUGACCAGCCACACUGGAACUGAGACACGGCCCAGACUCCUACGGGAGGCAGCAGUGGGGAAUAUUGCACAAUGGGCGAAAGCCUGAGCCAGCCAUGCCGCGUGUAUGAAGAAGGCCUUCGGGUUGUAAAGUACUUUCGUCAGGGAGGCGUUACCCGCAGAGGAAGCACCGGCUAACUACGUGCCAGCAGCCGCGGUAAUAC
rnacentral:rRNA from 1 species